UCCCAGUGGGGGAAAAAGUCACGUAUGUUAUCUCUCAUCCUAGUCCCAGGCCCUGUGAAGGUGAACCCACUGGGGCAGGCUGGGGGAGGAGGGGGAAGUUCCAGAAGGAACUGCCUGAGAGAU